rnacentral:rRNA from 1 species
CCUACGGGCGGCAGCAGUGAGGAAUAUUGGUCAAUGGGCGAGAGCCUGAACCAGCCAAGUCGCGUGAGGGAGUACUGCCCUAUGGGUUGUAAACCUCUUUUGUCGGGGAGCAAAAGCCGGACGUGUCCGGCUGUGAGAGUACCCGAAGAAAAAGCAUCGGCUAACUCCGUGCCAGCAGCCGCGGUAAUACGGAGGAUGCGAGCGUUAUCCGGAUUUAUUGGGGUUAAAGGGUGCGCAGGCGGAUUGUUAAGUCAGCGGUCACAUCGUGGGGCUCAACCCCAUCCAGCCGUUGAAACUGGGGAUCUAGAGUGUGCGAGAGGUAUGCGGAAUGCGUGGUGUAGCGGUGAAAUGCAUUGAUAUCACGCAGAACCCCGAUUGCGAAGGCAGCAUACCGGUGCACAACUGACGCUCAGGCACGAAAGCGUGGGUAUCGAACAGGAUUAGAUACCCUAGUAGUC